rnacentral:lncRNA from 1 species
ACCAUGGCGUGUGGUGGUGUAUUUUGCUUCCGAGAACAGUACUGUUUAUUUGAAGUGAGAUGUACUCGUCUAGUGCCUGGCAAAAAAUUGAAGGAUGAAGUGUCAUGUACUGUCUAUGUUGUAGUGAGCUGUAGUAGGAGUGAAACGAAAAUUUAUCUGCUGUUGUAUGUGCUAUUUCCCUGUAAUGUCUUGUGUACAUUUUACUUGAACAUUAAAUUCUCUAGAAAAAAUUGUUCUUACUAGACCUGGUAGUGGCCACGGCCCAAAUAUACUCAUACUAUUAAGAUGCCAUGGCCCAAAAUAACCUGGGCUGAAAAGCUAUUCAGAAGUAUUAUAAGCAGGCCUCGACUCAAAUAGAAAAUGGAAACAAAAAGCAAACAAACUAUGUGGAAGGUAAAAGCCCAUUAUAGAAAAGGCCCAAAACAUCAAGCAAAAGAAUCCUAAAAGGCUGAAUUAAUGGGCUCGGCCCAUGUAAAACGCCGAAUCAGACCGGGCUGAAUCUUGUGCCACAUCAGCUUGCCACGCUGGAUGCCUACGUGGCCUGGUCAGACAGCUAGUGACCAAAACACAACAGUAGGCUUAUUUUGGUCGUAAACGUCUACGACCUUCUCACAGAGAAGGUCGCUAUAGUCAGUUUAUGACCGCCAGCUUUUGACCUUCUGUUUUUGGUCACAAAAAGGUCGCAAAUGAAAAACCAUGACCUUUCAGUGACCAAUAGUGGUGGUCACAAGUUGACAUAUUUCUUGUAGUGCCCCCCGCAACGCUCACUGUUCAUCCCAGAGGCAGCAUCGAUCGGCUUCAGUUAGCAGCGGUAGCGAAGGAAUUGCUCGAUCAGGUUCAGUUAACAGCCAUCGAUCGAUCGCUCGGGUUCAGUAACGCGUAGCCUGCAGUGCAAUCGCUCGGUUUCAGUUAGAGCCCAACGCCUCACUCAGGUUCAGUUAGAGCCAACGCCUCGCACACACGCGCGUACGUGUACGAGAGAAACGUGCAUCGCUCGGCCCCCGACCUCCCACCGUAACCGGGAACUCCCCAAAAAUUUCCUCGCCCUCGCUUCUACCACGGGAUUUUCCGUCAUGGACGGCCCAAAGAAUGUCAUGCAGCUGCAUCUCCGGCCCGCCCAGGACGAAAAGCCCAUUUUCUGUCAUGAUUUUUUGUCAUAGAAGUAGGAGCCCACCACAUCUAUGAUGAUACCGGGUUUUGUCACAAUUAUCGUCAUAGAAGUGUCAUAUGUAUGACAGAAAAAAAAAUCGUUUGGCCCAAAAUAUCACGGAUGUGUCUUUUUUUGUAGUAAAUCCAUCAAAAGAUUUCACCCAAAACAUGAAAACUUCACAAUACAAAACUCAACAGAAAUCUCGUGAGCUCCGUUAGCGAAAGAAAACAAAAGACCACUUCAAGGUACUGUAAUGAACUCAUUCUUUAUUUAUAUUUGUGUUAAACCUACUGUAUUCCAACUUCUCUAUGGUUUAUAAACUAUUUUACUAGCCAUAGAUUCAUCAAAAUAAGCAAACAACACACGAAAACAGAAUCUGUCAAAAACAGAAUAGUCUGUAGUAAUCUGUAACUAACGCAAACUUCUGGACCUACACAAAAUCAGCCAAAAUAGGACAACCUAAGCAAUUUGUUUAUUGAUCAGCAUCAAUUGGAAUCACUAUUUUAUCACGUUCUGGUGAUUUUUAACAAUUGUUUUCGUGAACAGAGAGUUUCUGGAAAUUACAGCAAGAUAAAAUAACUAUCAUCCAAGAAGAUCCUAUAGGUUUAACUUGGCACAAACACUAAUUAAAACAUAAAAACACAUCUAACCAGAGGCUAGAACAAUGAUUUGUUCCUAAACAGAAGGAAAAGCAAAAAAACUAAAAAUAAAAUUGGGUUGCCUCCGAACAAGCGCUAUCGUUUAACGCCCCUAGCUAGGCAUAAAAGCAAGAAUAGAUCUAGGUAUUGCCAUCUUUGGUAGGCAAUCCAUAAGUGGCUCUCAUGAUAGAUUCAUAUGGUAAUUUUAUUUUCUUCCUAGGGAAGUGUUUCAUGCCCUUCUUUAAUGGAAAUUGGAAUCUAAUAUUCCGUUCCUUCAUAUCAAUAAUUGCACCAAUCGUUCUAAGAAAAGGUCUACCAAAAAUAAUAGGACAUGAAGGAUUGCAAUCUAUAUCAAGAACGAUAAAAUCUACGGGCACAUAGUUCCUAUUUGCAACAAUAAGAACAUCAUUAAUUCUUCCCAUAGGUUUCUUAAUAGUGGAAUCCGCAAGGUGCAAGUUUAGAGAGCAAUCAUCAAAAUCACGGAAAUCUAGCAAAUUGCACAAAGUUUUGGGAAUAGUGGAAACACUAGCACCCAAAUCACAUAAAGCAUAGAACUCAUGAUCCUUAAUCUUAAUUUUAAUAGUUGUUUCCCACUCAUCAUAAAGUUUUCUAGGGAUAGAAGCUUCCAACUCAAGUUUUUCUUCAUAAGAUUGCAUCAAGUCAUCAACGAUAUGUUUGGUAAAAGCUUUAUUUUGACUAUAAGCAUGAGGAGAAUUUAGCACGGAUUGCAACAAGGAAAUACAAUCAAUCAAAUAGCAAUUUUCAUAAUUAAAUUCCUUGAAAUCCAAAAUAGUGGGUUUAGCAACAUCUAGGGUUUUGAUUUCUUCAAUCCCACUUUUAUCAAUUUUAGCAUCAAGAUCUAAAAACUCCGAAUUUUUAGAACGCCUUCUAGGUAAAGGUGGAUCAUAUUCGGUCCCAUCAUUAUCAAGAUUCAUAUGGCAAAACAAAGAUUUAAUAGGGUACACAUCAAUAACUUUUAGAUCUUCAUCUUUAUUUUCAUAGGAAUUAGAAGAACACGCUUUAAUAAAGGCAUCUUUCGUAGCACGCAUCCUAGCGGUUCUUUCUUUGCACUCAUCAAUGGAAAUUCUCAUGGCUUUGAGAGACUCAUUGAUAUCAUGCUUAGGAGGAAUAGAUCUAAGCUUUAAAGAAUCAACAUCAAGAGAAAUUCUAUCAACGUUCCUAGCCAAUUCAUCAACUUUAAGCAAUUUCUCUUCGAGCAAAGCAUUGAAAUUCUUUUGCGAAUUCAUAAACUCUUUAACACUAGUCUCAAAUUCAGAGGGCAUCUUAUUAAAAUUUCCAUAAGAGUUGUUAUAGGAAUUUCCAUAAUUAUUAGAGGAAUUACUAGGAUAAGGCCUAGGAUUAAAGUUUCCUCUAUACACGAUGUUACCAAAAUUAUUCCUACCAACAAAAUUCACAUCCAUAGAUUCAUUAUUAUUCUCAAUCAAAGCAGACAAAGGCAUAUCAUUAGGAUCAGAAGAAACACUCUUAGUAGCAAAUAAUUUCAUAAAUUCAUCCAUCUUUCCACUCAAAACAUUAAUUUCUUCUGUUGCAUGCACUUUUUUAUUAGUAGAUCUUUCAGUGUGCCAUUCAGAAUAAUUAACCAUAAUAUUAUCUAGGAGUUUAGUAGCUUCUCCUAAAGUGAUUUCCAUAAAAGUGCCUCCCGCAGCCGAAUCUAAAAGAUUUCUAGAAGCAAAAUUCAAUCCGGCAUAAAAAAUUUGUAUAAUCAUCGAAAAAAUUCAAACCAUGAGUAGGGCAGUUACGUAUCAUUAACUUCAUCCUCUCCCAAGCUUGUGCAACAUGUUCAUGAUCAAGUUGCUUAAAAUUCAUAAUAUUGUUUCUAAGAGAGAUGAUCUUAGCGGGAGGAAAAUACUUAAGAGAUAAAAGCAUCUUUGCACUUGUUCCAAGAAUCAAUACUAUUUUUAGGCAAAGACGAAAACCAAGCUUUAGCACGAUCUCUAAGCAAAAAAGGAAAUAGCUUCAAUUUAACAAUAUCAUUAUCAACAUCUUUUUUCUUUUGCAUAUCACACAAAUCAACAAAGCUAUUUAGAUGAGUAGCGGCAUCUUCACUAGGAAGGCCGGCGAAUUGAUCUUUCAUGACAAGAUUCAACAAAGCAGUAUUGAUCUCACAAGAUUCAGUAUUGGUAAGAGGAGCAAUCGGAGUGCUAAGGAAAUCAUUAUUGUUGGUAUUGGUAAAGUCACACAAUUUGGUAUUAUCUUGAGCCAUCAUGACAAACAAAGCAAUCCAACACACGAGCAAACAAAAAGCAAGCGAAAAAAGGCAAACAGAAAAGAGAGGGCGAAUAAAACGGCAAGGGUGAAGUGGGGGAGAGGAAAACGAGAGGCAAAUGGCAAAUAAUGUAAUGCGGGAGAUAAGGGAUUUGUGAUAGGUACUUGGUAUGUUGACUUUUGCAUAGACUCCCCGGCAACGGCGCCAGAAAUCCUUCUUGCUACCUCUUGAGCACUACAUUGGAUUUCCUUGAAGAGUAAAGGAUGAUGCAGCAAAGUAGCGUAAGUAUUUUCCUCAGUUUUUGAGAACCAAGGUAUCAAUCCAGUAGGAGGCUACGCGUGAGUCCCUUGUACCUCCACAAAACAAAUAACUCCUCGUAACCAACGCGAUAAGGGGUUGUCAAUCCCUUCACGGUCACUUACGAGAGUGAGAUCUGAUAGAUAUGAUAGGAUAGUAUUUUUGGCAUUUUUGUGAUAAAGAUGCAAAGUAAAAUAAAAGCAAAGUAAAAAAGCAAAGGAAAUAACUAAGUGUUGGAAGAUUAAUAUGAUGAAGAUAGACCCGGGGGGCAUAGAUUUCACUAGAGGCUUCUCUCAAGAGCAUAAGUAUUUUACGGUGGGUGAACGAAUUACUGUUGAGCAAUUGACAGAAUUGAGCAUAGUUAUGAGAAUAUCUAGGUAUGAUCAUGUAUAUACUCAUCACGUCCGAGACAAGUAGACCGACUCCUGUCUGCAUCUACUACUAUUACUCCACUCAUCGACCGCUAUCCAGCAUGCAUCAAGAAUAUUAAGUUCAUGAAAACAGAGUAACGCCUUAAGCAAGAUGACAUGAUGUAGAGGGAUAAAUUCAUGCACAAUGAUAAAAUCCCAUCUUGUUAUCCUCAAUGGCAACAAUAAAAUACGUGCCUUGCUUCCCCUGCUGUCACUGGGAAAGGACACCGCAAGAUUGAACCCAAAGCUAAGCACUUCUCCCAUUGCAAGAAAGAUUAAUCUAGUAGGCCAAACCAAACUGAUAAUUCGAAGAGACUUGCAAAGAUAACCAAUCAUACAUAAAAGAAUUCAGAGAAGAUUCAAAUAUUGUUCAUAGAUAAUAUUGAUCAUAAACCCACAAUUCAUCGAUCUCAACAAACACACCGCAAAAAGAAGAUUACAUCAAAUAGAUCUCCACAAGAGAGGGGGAACAUUGUAUUGAGAUCCAAAAAGAGAGAAGAAGCCAUUUAGCUACUAACUAUGGACCCGAAGGUCUGAGGUAAACUACUCACACUUCAUCGGAGAGGCUAUGGUGAUGAUGUAGAAGCCCUCCGUGAUGGAUGCCCCCUCCGGCGGAGCUCCGGAACAGGCCCCAAGAUGGGAUCUCGUGGGUAUAGAAGGUUGCGGUGGUGGAACUAGGUUUUUGGCUCCGUAUCUGAUCGUUUGGGGGUACGUAGGUAUAUAUAGGAGGAAGGAGUACGUCAGUGGAGCAAUAGGGGGCCCAUGAGGGUGGAGGGCGCGCCCCCUACCUCGUGGCUUCCUCCUUUCUUUCUUAACGUAGGGUCCAAGUCUCCCGGAUCAUAAUCUUCCUAAAAAUCACGUUCCCGAAGGUUUCAUUCCGUUUGGACUCCGUUUGAUAUUCCUUUUCUUCGAAACUCUGAAAUAGGCAAAAAAACAGCAAUUCUGGGUUGGGCCUCCGGUUAAUAGGUUAGUCCCAAAAAUAAUAUAAAAGUGGAUAAUAAAGCCCAAUAAUGUCCAAAACAGUAGAUAAUAUAGCAUGGAGCAAUCAAAAAUUAUAGAUACGUUGGAGACGUAUCAUAGGUCAACCAGAGUAAGAUCCGCACUAGUGUGGUACCGUAAUCCUGUUCUAGGGUCAUUGUACUUGACCAUGACGAACCUACAAACUAUGAGGAAGCGAUGAUGAGCCCAGAUUCCGCAAAAUGGCUUGAGGCCAUGAAAUCUGAGAUGGGAUCCAUGAAUGAGAACAAAGUAUGGACUUUGGUUGACUUGCCCGAUGAUCGGCAAGCCAUAGAGAAUAAAUGAAUCUUCAAGAACAAGAAUGACGUUGACGGUAAUGUUACUGUUUACAGAGCUCGACUUGUUGUGAAAGGUUUUCGACAAGUUCAAGGACUUGUCUACGAUGAGACUUUUUCACCCGUAGCGAUGCUUAAGUCUGUCCGAAUCAUGUUAGCAAUUGCCGCAUUUUAUGAUUAUGAAAUUUGGCAAAUGGAUGUCAAAACUACAUUCCUGAAUGAAUUUCUGGAAGAAAAGUUGUAUAUGAUGCAACCAGAAGGUUUUAUGAAUCCAAAGGAUGCUAACAAAGUGUGCAAGCUCCAGCGACCCAUUUAUGGACUGGUGCAAGCCUCUCGGAGUUGGAAUAAACGUUUUGAUAGUGUGAUCAAAGCAUAUGGUUUUAUAUGGACUUUUGGAGAAGCCUGUAUUUACAAGAAAGUGAGUGGGAGCUCUGUAGCAUUUCUAAUCUUAUAUGUGGAUGACAUAUUGUUGAUUGGAAAUGAUAUAGAAUUUCUGAAUAGCAUAAAGGGAUACUUGAAUAAGAUUUUUUCUAUGAAAGACCUCAGUGAAGCUGCUUACAUAUUGGGCGUCAAGAUCUAUAGAGAUAGAUCAAGACGCUUAAUUGGACUUUCACAAAGCACAUACCUUGAUAAAGUUUUGAAGAAGUUCAAAAUGGAUCAAGCAAAGAAAGGGUUCUUGCCUGUGUUACAAGGUGUGAAGUUGAGUUAGACUCAAUGCCCGACCACUGCAGAAGAUAGAGAGAAAAUGAAAGUCAUUCCCUAUGCUUCAGCCAUAGGUUCUAUCAUGUAUGCAAUGCUGUGUACCAGACCUGAUGUGUGCCUUGCUAUUAGUAUAGCAGGGAGGUGCCAAAGUAAUCCAGGAAUGGAUCACUGUACAGCGGUCAAGAACAUCCUGAAAUACCUGAAGAGGACUAAGGAUAUGUUUCUCGUUUAUGGAGGUGACAAAGAGCUCGUCGUAAAUGGUUACGUCGAUGCAAGCUUUGACACUGAUCCGGAUGACUCUAAGUCACAAAUCGGAUAUAUACGUGUUUAUAUUGAACGGUGGAGCUGUCAGUUGGUGCAGUUCUAAGCAAAGCAUCAUGGCGGGAUCUACGUGUGAAGCGGAGUACAUAGCUGCUUCGGAAGCAGCAAAUGAAGGAGUCUGGAUGAAGGAGUUCAUAUCUGAUCUGGGUGUCAUACCUAGUGCAUCGGGUCCAAUGAAAAUCUUUUGUGACAAUACUGGAGCAAUAGCCUUGGCGAAGGAAUCCAGAUUUCACAAGAGAACCAAGCACAUCAAGAGAUGCUUCAAUUCCAUCCGUCAUCAAGUGUCGGAAGGGGACAUAGAGAUUUGCAAGAUACAUACGGAUCUGAAUAUUGCAGACCCGUUGACUAAGCCUCUCUCACGAGCAAACAUGAUCAGCACCAAGACUCCAUGGGUGUUAGAAUGAUUACUAUGUAAUCUAGAUUAUUGACUCUAGUGCAAGUGGGAGACUGAAGGAAAUAUGCCCUAGAGGCAAUAAUAAAGUUGUUAUUUAUAUUUCCUUAUAUCAUGAUAAAUGUUUAUUAUUCACGCUAGAAUUGUAUUAACCGGAAACUUAGUACAUGUGUGAAUAAGCCUCUACUUGACUAGCUCGUUAAUCAAAUAUGGUUAAGUUUCCUAGCCAUAGACAUGAGUUGUCAUUUGAUGAACGAGAUCACAUCAUUAGAGAAUGAUGUGAUGGACAAGACCCAUCCGUUAGCUUAGCACUAUGAUCGUUUAGUUUAUUGUUAUUGCUUUCUUCAUGACUUAUACAUGUUCCUAUGACUAUGAGAUUAUGCAACUCCCGAAUACCGGAGGAACACUUAGUGUGCUAUCAAAUGUCACAACAUAACUGGGUGAUUAUAAAGAUGCUCUACAGGUGUCUCCGAUGGUGUUUGUUGAGUUGGCAUAGACCGAGAUUGGGAUUUGUCACUCCGUGUUUCGGAGAGGUAUCUCUGGGCCCUCUCGGUAAUGCACAUCACUAUAAGCCUUGCAAGCAAUGUGACUAAUGAGUUAGUUGCGGGAUGAUGCAUUACGGAACGAGUAAAGAGACUUGCCAGUAACGAGAUUGAACUAGGUAUGAUGAUACCGACGAUCGAAUCUCGGGCAAGUAACAUACUGAUGACAAAGGGAACAACGUAUGUUGUUAUGCGGUUUGACCGAUAAAGAUCUUCGUAGAAUAUGUAGGAGCCAAUAUGAGCAUCCAGGUUCCGCUAUUGGUUAUUGACCAGAGAUGUGUCUCGGUCAUGUCUACAUAGUUCUCGAACCCGUAGGGUCCGCACGCUUAAGGUUCGAUGACGAUUUGUAUUAUGAGUUAUGUGAUUUGAUGUACCGAAGGUUGUUCAGAGUCCCGGAUGAGAUCACGGACAUGACGAGAAGUCUCGAAAUGGUCGAGACAUAAAGAUUGAUAUAUUGGAAGGUUACAUUCGGNNNNNNNNNNNNNNNNNNNNNNNNNNNNNNNNNNNNNNNNNNNNNNNNNNNNNNNNNNNNNNNNNNNNNNNNNNNNNNNNNNNNNNNNNNNNNNNNNNNNNNNNNNNNNNNNNNNNNNNNNNNNNNNNNNNNNNNNNNNNNNNNNNNNNNNNNNNNNNNNNNNNNNNNNNNNNNNNNNNNNNNNNNNNNNNNNNNNNNNNNNNNNNNNNNNNNNNNNNNNNNNNNNNNNNNNNNNNNNNNNNNNNNNNNNNNNNNNNNNNNNNNNNNNNNNNNNNNNNNNNNNAACCGAAUUGGACUAGGGCUAGGGGGUCGGGCCCCCUUUCAGUCUCUUCUCCCUCUCCUUCCCCCCUUCUCCUUGUGGAAGUAGGAAAGGGGGGGCGAAUCCUACUUGGAGUAGGACUCCCCCCCUUGGGCGUGCCUCCUCCUGGCCGGCCUCCUCCUCCCUCCCCCCUUUAUAUACGUGGGAGGGGGGCACCCCAAAGGUACAUCAAAGUUUCUCUUAGCCGUGUGCGGUGCCCCCCUCCACGGUUACACACCUCGGUCAUAUCGUCGUAGUGCUUAGGGGAAGCCCUGCACCGGUAACUUCAUCAUCACCGUCGCCACGCCGUCGUGCUAACGGAACUCUCCCUCGGCCUCAACUGGAUCAAGAGUACGAGGGACGUCAUCGAGCUGAACGUGUGCUGAACACGGAGGUGUCGUACGUUCGGUGUUGAGAUCGGUCGGAUCGUGAAGACGUAUGACUACAUCAACCACGUUGAUAAAACGCUUCCGCUUUCGGUCUAUGAGGGUACGUGGACACACUCUCCCCGCUCGUUGCUAUGCUUCUCCUAGAUAGAUCUUGCGUGAUCGUAGGAAUUUUUUUGAAAUUAUUGCGUUCCCAACAGGUUCUGACCUAGGUAUUGUUCUUUUUUCCGUAGGGAUAUUUCCGUCGUUGAAGCAUUGUAGUAUGUAGAGUUCUUAUCCAUUUAUCUUUGAUUUGUUCAUAAGAUUUUGCUAGCUCCAUCGCAUGAUUAUGUACUUGGAUUACAGGAAGCAAAGAAGAAGUUUGUAAGAAGCAACACUUCUGUCCAUAUGGCGAUGGUGCGAGGGACAAGGUCCUCGCACUUGCAUCACCACAGUAGAUGGUAUUGUGGUGCCAACCGUCACAUGAUAUACUCCAUGAUACUCCACAUCGGGAUGUCGUCCCCUCAGUAGUUGGACCUGACGCCAUCCUAGCAUGGACGCUCAACAUGCAUCGGGUAGGGAUCAUCAAACGACGGGAGCUCCUGCGCCUAGCUACAUGAAACCAUGCCUCGCAUUCUCAACUGAACUACUUUGUUUUCAACGAGGACCUUAGCUAAUGGCAUCGUUGGCCUUUCUCUAUUCAUGUCACUCCUUGAUGCCGCUCACCACGUGGUGAUGGAAGGAAAAACACCCACCAUUUGAAAAAUGCAUGACUAUCAUCACAGGGAAGCAUAACUAGCAUCAGUAGCAAGCAUGGCCAACACUGAAAAGGAAGCAUGUCGGCCAUCGACUUGGUAGUGUCCGAAAUUGUUAUUUCUUUGGACGCAUAUUGUCAUUUCUUUGGAAGCAUUAGUAUUUUUGGUUUUAAACCAAUGUAGUUUCAAUGGUAAAUAAGACUACUUGAUAAGAAAUAUUUGUUUCCUAGGAAGCAAUUUAAUGGAACAUUGGAAACAAUUUAUUGUUCUCUAAAAUACAUCUUCAUUGUGCCAGAAACAAAAAAGAAUAGAAAUGGUGCACUAUACAUAAGAUUUUGCCAAAUCGAAAGAAUCUCCGAUUGACGUGGAAGCACGAAACUGAAUGAAUGGUUCAAUUCCUAGUCCUUACUACCACACAAGUCCUUUAUGUACACAGUUCAAGUAAUAUAUGCUUUCAAUUUUAGUAAACCAUGUUUCCACCUAUCACAGUAUGUGCUUCCUACCUAGCUCACCACCACACAAGUGCUUCCACGCCCAAAUAAUAUCACGCAUACGAAGGACCUAUGGAAUCGGAGCAUACGAUGGAAACAACGAGUAUGAGAAGAUAAGGCACAAAGUUUUUCUUACACACUAAUCAUGCUUCCUACAAUGGUGCAUCACGCUUCAUACAUGGCUGGAUACACUUCUCCUUCUGCAUUAAUCAGUUAUGCUUCCAACAUUGGUGUACUGUGCUUCAAGCACUCAGAUUUUGAAUAGCCUAUGUUCCAAUGUUUUGCUUCAAACAUCCAGUUCUAAGAAAUAACAAACAAUAUACGCAAAAAAAAUUAGAAUCUAUAUUGGAACAUAAAAUGGAUCUUGAAGGAGUUAAUUAGGACGGAUUUUUUGGGAGCAGUUAAUUAGGGCAGAUUUUUCUGGAAGCAAUUAGUAAGGAAAGUGAUAAAAUCAAUCAAGGACUUAUCUCCUAAUCAGGUGGAAACUCCCACGUAACAGGGCGUUCUAAUCCCACGCUCCAACACUUUCCUAUCCAUUGGCUAUGGAUUAGUCUAAUAGGUGCAAAUUUGCAGUAGUCUGAUGCCUAGCGCUUCCCAAUACGAAGCCCACACGACAGCGACCUAUCCCGUACACCAUAAGUGCGGCUGCGCAUGGGCCGACCCAACUAGAGACUCCCUUUCCAGCAUUUCUUUUUUAUGUCGUUUUUAUGCAUUUUUCAUUUUCAAAAUCCCGUAAUUUUUUUUGUACUCACGAAUAUUUUGGCAAUUCCAUGAGCACUUUUUGAAUUUGUAUUUUUUUGAAUUUAUGAACAUUUUUAAAUUUGAUGAUACUUUUCUAUUUUCUCCUACCUAUUUUGAAUUUGCUAACAUCUUUUUAAUAUGCAAACAUUAUUUGAAUUCACAGACAUCGUUCCAAUCCCGCGAAGAUUUUUCGUACUCGCAAUCUUUAUUUGAAUUCACAGACAUCGCAAUCUUUCCCUUCUUUUCUGGGAGGGUGAGAACUAGAAAGACUGGGAGAGAAACAUUUUUUUAGUAUGCAAACAACUUUUUGAAAUUUGCAGUUUUUUUUCAAUUGGUGAACUCUUUUAAUUUUUGUUUUGAAUGCACGAACAAUUGUUGAACUUGAGAACAUUUUUCUGAACUCACAUUCUUUUUUGAAUUUGCAAGAAUAUUUAAAUACGCAAUCGUAUUUUGAAUUCAUGAACUUCUUUGGAAUUGCGAGCAUUUUUCAAAAUCACGAACAUUUUUAAAAUGACGAACAUGUUUUGAAUUUGUGAACACUUUUUUGGAUAUGUGAACUUUUUUCUUCAAUAUCUGGGCAUUUCUGAAAUGCACAAAUAUUUUCUAAAUUCUUGAACAUUUUUUUUGAAAUUUGUAAAAGUAUAUAAAAGAAAACGAACAGAAAUAUAAAAAACCCCGAUAGAAAUAACGCGAGAACACAUUAGGUGCAGCUCCCUAUUCUUUAAUGGGUCAGCCCGAAAACCGGAGGAGUAGUAUCGAAUCUGACCCGGCCCAGAGGAGAUCAUCUCAUACACGCCAGGGAAAAGGAUAUCCGAUACUGACCUGCGGCCUCCUCCGUCCCCAAAUAAAAGAAAUCGAUUCCUUUUUUCCUAAAAAAAAAGAGAAAUCGAUUCUUGUCCUACCUCGCUCCCGAGUCUCGACCCACGCGGCGGCGGCUGCUGCUGCUACAGGUUUAUACGGAUUCAAAGAUCUUCCUCCCGUUCUUCCCCUUCCUAUUCCUCCCGCGACGCUUCGGGCCUCCGAGUUUUCUUCUAGCGCGUCUUGUCUCCUUGGCUCGUCUCAGAUCGAUUCGCUCUGUCUCGUAGCCACCUCCGCGGCGGUCGCCGAGAUUGCCGUCGGGUCGCCACCGCCGGUACCCCUCUGACCUUAUACCCCCUUUUUUUGGAUUUUUUUUGUUAACAUUAUCGAUGAUGUGUGUUCAACCUCCGUUGUUGGUUAGGGUUUGGAGAGAUGCAGCGGUGUCACGGAAAGGACAAGGCGGCUACCAGCGCGACGCCGCACCACGCAAAGGGCAAGGCGGCCGCGAGCGCGAUGCCGUACCACGCAAAGGAUAAGGCGGCUACUUGCGGCGCGAUGGGGCCGAAGCAUGUCCUCGCAGACGAGAACAUCGUGCAGGAGCACUUAGCACCUCCGGAUCGAAUUCGACAGAGGGGUUUGGAUAGUGCAAAGGAGAGAUCAUCAUCGCUGGUUAUGGGCUUCCGUAGAGAGAUGUCGCAAAAGCGAGGGGAGAAGGGGGAUACAACCUCAAUACAUCAGAAGCAUAAUGCAAAGGAGAAGACUUGCCCCCCUGAUCUGCUCCGCCGGCAGACGCAGGGUAUCCAGCGGCCUGUCAAGAGUCUUGCCGGAGAGAUGUCGCUGAAGCAAAGGGAGAAGGUGGGUACAGGCCUGAUUCCACAGGCGCAUAAUGCAAAGGAGAAGACAUGCCCCCCUGAUCAACUCCGCGGGCAGACGCAGGGUAUCCAGCGGCCUGUCAAGACUGAAGCACGACUUGCUGGAGAGAAGAAGCACAAAACUGAAGCACAUCUUGCCGGAGAGAAAAAGCACACGAAAGGCAAUGCGUCUUUUCCAGCGAAAAGAACCACUACACUACUCAAAGCAAGAACGAGUUCCCACUGUUCCGAUGAAUGUACCAGUCGUCCCAUCGAUACUAACGACCAUGGCAACACUGUUGCCACCCCGGAACAGAGGGAAGAAUCUGCCGCAAUCAAGAUAGAUAAAGAAGUGGAGUACAUAACCCAAAAGUUGAACAAGUUGGGAGUGCGAGAUGAUAUUGGCUUUGAGGAGUACUAUAAAUGCUUGAUGAAUCUGCCUUCCGACCCCUCCGUUGAUACUUCCAUCAGAUUGGAUGAUACAGAUCUUUAUGACAUGGACAUCCGCCACGCGGUGUAUCGCAUCAGAUCCUACAAGGUUUCAUCCAUCCAUGCCUCUAUUUUUCAGUCAUCAAAUGCUGUUCAAGGAUCAAUCCAUACAUUUGCGUUUUGCGAAUUGAUGUUAGUUUGUUCUAUCCUGCUUAUGCUGUUUUUUAUCUCAUAAUCCAUAUCUAAUUCCAAUGGUGAUAUCAUUGACUGCAGUUGUCACAAAAGGAGUCUAAGAAUGAGUUGUGCCAUGAUAAACUGAAAGAUUGCCCUGUGGAGCUUCUUGACAGGGACGAAUUUCCUACAGAUUUCCUCGUGAAGAUGCAAUAUUUUAGGUUCUUGGAGGAAGAAGGUGUAUUAGACUGGUUCUUCCACCCUGAACUCUGCAAGCUUGCUUGCCUGAAUGACUACCAGCGUCUAGUGCCUCGGGAUCAUGUACGUAUAUAAACUGAUCAUUGAGUGUUCCUGUAAUCAUUUAAUUGCCUUUGGUGUUCCACUGUGUUAGUAUGGCUAUUUAGAACCAUUCAUCAUAAUUUCAACACCAUGAUAUACACAAAUGAUCUGCGUGGCCUGUUUUCAGAAAGGGUUUAAAAGUUAUCUAUUAUGUAAGGAUCUACAUUACAGAGCAAUUUAUGUGGAGUUAUUGAUGAGUUCAUGAUAUGUUUACUGGGUGUUAAUUAUCUUUUCCUUAGAUGGUCCAUUUCAUAAUGUUUUAUGCUGGAAAAGGUACAUCAUUGAGUUAUCGGCCUCUGUUAAAAACUGGCCAGCUAACUACUUCAACAUAGUGCCAACCAGGAUAUUUUUCUUUCCGCUUUAUUACCUUUCUUGAUGCUCAUAUUUCUUUUGCUAAAGUAGUUCUAUGCAUAUUUUUCUGUUGGAAAUGGUACUGUGACUUAAUAUUUUCUUUUAAAGAGAACCAACAUACUCUUUUACGAAUAUUAGUACAUUUUUGCUUGUCCUGUAUCAAACCUUGUUUUUGUCAUCUUCUCUCUAUUUAUAUUAUUAUAUUAAUUAAGGCAUAUGUUAUUUGUCAUUCUAAAUCAUGUUUCCUCUUUCCCUUCAUUUUCAUGUAGGGUGCUGUUUUUGAUUGGGAGUAUGCUGAUUGGGAGUUGUACCGCAGUUACUUUCAUAGCUAUGAGAUGCAACAUGAAUACAUCGAGUACUUUGAAACAUUAUUAAGGGAACUUAAGGUGUGCGUCGCAAAAUCAAGCAAGACUAGCAUUCCUGCAAUCAUUAGAUUUUUAUUAUGGGACUAACAACCUCUCUUUUUAUCUUGAUACAGUGGUUGAAAGAUUGUCUACCGGUUAACGAUACUUCUCCUACUGUAAGUACAUGACUGCACAAAAAUCAUGGAAUGGCAAUUUUCUGUAUAUGUUACGUUAUCAAUGGUAUUUCCUCUGUUCUUUAGGCAAGCAAAAUACGGACCAGAGGAAUUUAUCAAGCAACUAAGAUUGCCACUCGCUUUCCCAAGAUCACAACUCAUUUAGUUCGUAUUGGCUUCAGUGUAUGAUCUCUAGCAUAAUCACUAACUUAAUUUUGGCAUGGUUUUGCAUUUAACAGUUUGAUUAUUUCGAUGCAGGAUUGUCUUACUUACAUGGGCAUUGAGGCUAGGUGGUGUAACGGAUCCGAUGGUCUCCAUUUCGAGAUAUGGAAGCGAGUCACUCAACAAAAGGUUAGCAUUCAGUAUUGUAACCCGGUCUUCUGCACACUUAUUGAGUAUGCAUGUAAUUCUGAUUAAUUCAGUAUUGUAACCCAGUCUUCUUCACACUUAUUGAGUAUCCAUGUAAUUCUGAUUAAUUCGUGUUGCUUAUGAACCCUGUAUAUGUAUACAGUAAUGCUUGUUUUUUUUUUGAGUAUCCAUGUAAUUCUCAUUUCUCAACAAUGCACAGGAGAGUUUCGAAAAUGCUUUGAAGGAAGUCUAUUUACUGAACAAGUGUCCGUCGCGGCAAGAUAGCAUCAAGUAUGCCAUAGAGUAUGACCAUUCCCUUAUGAAACUAGAGGUAGGCUCUUCUUCACAGAUAAUUGUAAGCUCAGAAUUUGCAACAUGCAUGCUUAUCUCUUUUGCUUCACAGAUAGUUGUAAGCCCAGAAUUUGUAACGUGCAUGCUUAUCUCUUUUGCUUCUUUUCUUCACCUUUUCAGUUUCUUCAUUGCACGGCAAGUGUUCCCAAGGAAGUAAGUACUGUGAUAUGCGUGUGGGAUUGAUCCAAUGGAUUAAAUGUUCUUAUAUUUGAUUUGAUUUCACGUCUGAUUGCCUUAGGUAUCAGAGGAGAAAGCUCAGGAGUUGAUUACAGAGAAAGUUAAAAAGCUGGUACUGUACUCGAAAGAAAUUGCAUCUUGAUAUGAUAUAUAUGUAUACAUAUUAUUUCAAAGGUACCGUUACGCUAAGAAAAAAUCAUUUAUUUACAGAGGAUAAAAUCCAAAUUCUUUGACGAGUAUAUCAGAAAGAAGAUACGCAUUGCCAAAGCUAUAAGAUUGAUUACCGAGGUAUACUAUCCUAAUCUUUGUUUAUAAUUGCAUAUAACUUGAUAUCUUUUCUGUCAAAGGUAACCAAAUUAUAUGCACACCCUAACAGCGAUUGUAUGAUUUUACUUUUGCAGGUUUAAGAAGAUGCAUAUUGGGCCUGGCUUUUCGUCCUUGGAGCUUCCAUUUCUUCAAGAUGCCUUUUCAUGGAUUCCAGCACUUUUGCUGCUGCAAUGAAUACUGAACUAGAUCAGAUUCGUAGCUCUUACAAAGUACUCCCUCCGUUUCUUUUUAGUCCGCAUAUAAGGUUUGGUCAAAGUCAAGUUUUGUAGAGUUUGACUAACUUUAUAUUAAAAAAUAUAAACAUUCACAAUAUGAAAUCAAUACUAUCAGAUGCACCAUGAAACGUAUGUUCAUACUAUAUAGUUUCAGUAUUGUAGAUGUUCAUAUUUUUUUAUAUAAAUUUGGUCAAACUUUGUGAUCUUAUAUGCGGAGUAAAAAGAAACGGAGGGAGUACAGUAGUAUAGUACUACUAGUCUAUUAGAUGGAUGAUUUGAGUAUGUGCCUGCAACCGCCUGCGUCAUUUGAUUUUAUCAGCCACCUCUGUGGUUUUCUGUUUAUGUGCCACUUGGCCACUAGGAGUAUUCUACUAGCCCUAUCCAUUAAGUCAUAUCAGUUUCGUUCCCAGUAACUUAACACAAGUUUUACAUACUAGCGCGCAAAGGCUGCCGCGCCCAUCAAAGCCUGUUUGUGUGCGUCUGUUUUGCUUUUGUAAUGAGGGAAACGAGAACAAUGCGCUUUGAAAGCGAGCUGAUGGCGUGAAAGUAUCUGUAUAUUUAGCACGUUCAUGCAGGUCCUUGUACUUUCUUAUUUGUAGAAGCUAUAGGGAGGUCAUAGCAACAUGCAAGGAAGUUUCUUUCCACGUGAAAGAGAGUGGAGGAGUUGUGACAACAUCGCUUACUAUGCCAAGGAUCCGGACAAACUACCACCAACACCAACGGGGAGGAGUUGGGACAGAAAGAUGGUUGGUUGUGCCAUUGAAAGUCUGGUAGUGUGCGAAGUGAAAUAGUGUUAGAGGUGUGUGUGUUUUAGAUCUUGGCCACUGGUAUAUCUAUAUUUAUAGAUAGAUUUGUCAUUUCCGGUCAAUCACCAGUUUGAUAAUUGUUCUUGGCCACUGAUAUCUGUUUAUGCACAUAACAAGACCAUGUACAUUCGUACAUGCAAGGGAAGAGUUUCGUUAGCAAGAGAUCUUGGAGAAACUUUACUGCCAAUCUACGUGUUUAAUCUUUUUUCUUUUGAAACGGAGGCAAAGAUUGCCUCAUCUAUUAAUUAAGCAGAAGAGAAUUGUCCAGUUAAUUACGAAAAAUCGGGCAAAAACCAGAACAACAAGAGUCAAGCCCACCCCAGAGACAAAAGCACUCAGGGCAAAGCCUACCCUAAUCGAUAACAUGUCGACCUGCGGUCAGACAACGCAACUCCGACUCUGACGGAGAACUCAGAAGAGCCAGACAACGCAACUCCAACUCUGACGGAGAACUCAGAAGAACAAAAUCAUGCGGAAGCUGGUGCCACAGAAAAUCGCCGAACGGGCCACUUGCAGCCAGUCAUCGUAUACCACAGGGCCCCGCCGCCGCAGCUUCGACUCCACAACAACAAACAAACCGAAGCAAAACCGCGGACACGCCGGAGAAGCCUGGUAUCGCUCCCACCAUCAUCGUUGCCACAGAAGCCUGGUCGCCACAGAGAUCCUCUCGGGGCCGCCGCCCCGACAUCCACCGCUCCGUCGCGCCCAGCGCUCUCCACCAGCACCGCCUUCCGAGGCCGCCGCCUCGACAUACCACCGCUCUCAUCGAGCAGCAACGCCGCACAGCCCAGCUGCCCGUAGCCCACGAUGCUUAGGGCAACUUCUCGCAGACCACGAACGUUGCACCACAUCCGAGGCCGCCGCCCCGACGUAGAGUCAGACCGCCCCCUCUGGGGCGCAUCGACCGAGCCGACACCCCCACCGCCCAAGUGGGACAAGGAUGCCACCCAACCAAUGUCGAGAGCGAGCCCCACCUCAUAGAGCCGCCACUCGCAUUGUUCCCGAGAUCGCCAUCUCGGCGCACAAACAAAAACCACUCGGAGCCGCCGCCCCGACGUCCACUGUCCCCGCCGACGAAGAGAUCCGUGCAAACCGCAAUAUGCUGACUCUCCAAGGCGAUGCCUCAAAGAAGGGAACAACGUAGCCGUCGGCAUCGCCCGCUUCGACCAUCCGAAGCUAAAGAUUUCUCCCGGAGAGUCGUGUAAUGGAGCUCCACGGCUACACCUUCAAGAAGGAGAACGGCACCAUGGCCAUGGCGCCGCUGUUGCCGGCAUCGACCCAAAGUCAGUGCUGGACUUUCGCCCGGAGCUCCUCCACACCUUCGAAUCCGAGCAGAUCCGAAGCACUGCGCAGCACACAAUCUCCGGUCGACGUCCACCGGCUCCUCGUCGUGGUGCAGCAGCCGCCGCACCUCUCAAAAACGCGCGGAGCCGCCAGAUCCGCGGCCUCCCUGCCGUAACCAUGCUGCGCACGCCUCCCCACGCCCGCUCGCCGCACAUCCGGCCAUAGUCGAUCUGAAAUGUCUUAUAGCCAAAUAAGAUAAUAGUUUCACAUAUAUAUUCCAAGCGCCAAUGCUUUUUCUAAGGAACUCACAUACCUUUUUACACAAUCAAACUGCCAUUUAGCCCCAUGUACAAACAAUCUAAGGACAUGAGACAGAGGGAAAGGAGAGGUAAAACAUCACCGAGCAUAAAACUGGGGUGGGCAGUGAGGCCACACCUACAUCAACAAUGAACUUUUCUUAAGAGAAAGUAGAACCUCCAAAAAAACCAAGAAUGGAUAAAUAAUACGAAUCUCAUAUAUAGUAUGAAGCUAUAGAAGCAAGUAAAACCGUGGAUUAAUGAAUAUCGGGUGAAGAAAAUAGACUCCAAUAAUUAGACAUAUGUAAAUAGCUUUGAGUAAAUUUAGCCAAGGAUGUCCAUAUCAUAAGGGCAUCUCCAGCCGCGCCCCCAGAAAAGCCUUCCUAGGCGUUUUUUUUGCGCCGGCGCCGAAAAAUCGGCCCAAUCGCGCCCCCAGAAGCCCGAUUUUCGCCGGCUUGGGCCGAAAACAGCGCCGGCGGACCCAGGCCGAACCCGGCGCGCUGGGGAGCGCCCGGGGGCGCCGGGCGAACUUUUUUGGCGCGAAAAAGCCGCGGGCCCGCCGCGUCAGCGACACGGCUCUCUUCUCGGCCCUUCGUCGUCCUCAUCGCCUCGUUUCCCGCGGCGAAUCAAUGCCAAAGUUGCCGCGCAGCCGCGCCGGUCAGCCUGCGCCAUUGAUGCCUCACGGGCGGCGCAGUGAAGGCUGGAUGACGCGCGUCCCUCGGCCUCCCUCGCCCGCCACGCGUGCACACGGCGGACACGCGUACGGGCGGCGCCUCGGUCUAUAUAAGACGCGCACCAGCGUGCUCGGCAAUCACACUCUCUCGCCGUCGUCGUUCCUCCUCUCCUCUCUCUCGCCGUCUCCAGUUCAUCACCCAUGGCCGAGCGCUACCCAGGCGACGGCGCGGCGGCGAACGGCCGCCGCCAUCUUCACGAGGACGAGGCUCGCCUCCUCUACGAGGCCGAGUACCCGGUCCCGCCGGACAUGCUGGUGCCCGGCGCGUGGAGGAUCAGCGUCGGCGGCGUGCCGGUGCCCCCGGUGCCCACCGGCGCGGCGCGGCGUGCGGAGAUCGCACGCAUCCGCUCGAACCUGCCGCGGGCGGCGAGAAAGGGGCCGCGGUACGUCCUCGACAGCCCACUCUGGGAGCCUUACUUCCGCCGCCGUCACGCCCAGCAGCUCGAGGCUACCAACGAUGUAGAGCCCUCCGGCAGGCUCAACUCCGCCGGCCGGCGUCGGUGGUGGGGCGUGCCCGGGCGCACGUUGAAGGCCGUCCUCGAGUACAUCGAGGGCGACAACACGCUGCGCCUCGAGUACCCCGCUCCCCCUUCCUUCUCACGCCGCCGGGGAAGCUCCUGGGCCCCGAGGCGCAUGAAGAUCGGGGGGUCUUCCUCCUCGUCCGGCGGCUCGCCCUGCCUCCUGGGGGCCAACGGCUGGAGCUUCCCAUCCAAUUUUUGCACCUUCUAGCUGUCUAUUACGAACUGGAACAGCCUGAUCCCAUGGGCACAAAGGAACUCGUGUUUGGUCUUUACGUACCGAAAGCAUACAAAACGAAUGAGAAGAACGGCACCGGUAUCUCAAAGAAUAAAUUACAUACCUAGCCGAAUAACACACUACGGUGCGUUGCUUCCUUUCAUAGGCUUCGAUGCCGCGCUCCAACAACCUCGGCCAUGGCGUUCAUUCAUUCACGAACGCCAAUGCCGUGGCCCCCACCCAAAUAUCAAGUUGAGUAGCGUGAAGAGCAGCAUCGACAUAAAUGAUGCCCACCAACUGAGGGUGACGCGGUGAGUUGCAACUCUCGGCCAACAGUUUAUUUUGAAGUUCGUUUGGGUGAAGAUUUAUUCGAGGGGAAACCGAGGGCGACAUGGUAGAAUGCAGAGGAGAAAGACCGGGACGUACCAGGGGUAUUAGUUCGUCCAAUGCCACCUGAUGUUCGUGGUCCAGGAAGGUGCAGCUUGCAAGUCACAACAGGCUGCCAUGGCCGCUUGGUGAAUGCGUGUCGCCACGAGAUGUCAGGGAGAUGCACCGCUGGACGGUUCUACUGCAUUGGCCUAUUAUGUAUGUGUUGUCGCUUUUGUGUGUGUGAGAGAGAGAGAGUAAUUAGGACACGGCGUCUCUUUUCAUAAUCAAUGAGAAAAUCAUAGAUCAACAAAAACCAAAAAUAUACGUGGUAAUAACCUAGAUCAAUCAAAACCAAAAAUAUACAUGGUAAUAGGUAAAUUCCGGUAUAAUUACAGUCGAAAUUCCAGUCUUAGAAUUUAUUCUAUGUAAUUUACACUGUAAAUUGAGUAAUUCUACUGUCUUUACUGUAAUUACUUUUUUCUUCUAAUUUUCCAGUCUAAAUCUACUGCAAAUGCACUGUAAAAACUCAUUGUAAUUGCUAAUCCUGAUCACUGCUUACAGUAAAUUUCAGUUCCCCCAAGUUUCAACCAGUUCCCCUUAUGUUUGUUCCAAAGGUUCAGCUAGUUCCCCCCAUGUUUAUGUGCAGAUGCUGAGAAUGUAGGGAGAGGGAGUGGUUGCUCGCAGUCACAGGAGGUAGGAGUUCUUUUUGGGUUGUAAACCCGGGGACCCUUUUACUUUCUUUUUGGGUCUGCUUUUUUAUUUCUUGCAGGCCCGUUUAAAAGGAAGAGAGGGAAGGUGGGACAACAACAGCUACAAUCGGAGGACAGGAAGCGGAGACAGGUGACCGUUGUCAAACUCUGGAUGGCCCAAAAAUACUUCCUUUGUUUCAAAUUACUCGUCGUGGUUUUUGAACUAAAACCACGACGAGUAAUUUGAAAACGGAGCAAGUAUGACCGAAAGCGAAUUGAAUUUCAGUCCCACUUAACUUUUCCCGUUUCUCUCUUUUUCACACUAAUUAGCUUGGCGAGGCUAACGAUGUCCUAGUGCGCGCCCGCGGUUGGAUGAGGUAGCAGGGGCGGCUUCGCGAUCCCUGUUCCUGGCGAGUGGCGACCUUGCGCACGUGUAACCUGUUGUCCCCGGCAGUGGCGCCGUCCCUCCGCCCCUGGCGGCGGCGGAUGGAAGCGGCUGGCUGCACUGGGUGACGAGGGCUGGGACGUGAUCGACGGGAUCGACCGCAAGUACGCGCUGGACAGGGAGCUCGGCCGCGACGAGUUCCGGGUCACGUACCUGUGAGUUCAUCGGGACAUCUUCGCUGCUCCUGUCGUGUCGCUAGCCAGCCGAUGAUGGCUCGCGUCCUACGCACCAUGGCGCCCAACUGGCACGAGCUCCACUACCAGCCCGGCGACGGCGUCAGCUUCACCAUGGCCGACUACGCUCUUAUCGGCAUAGACGAGCCGACGGAGCUUGCCAGGACUCCCCUGCUCGUGCAACGACUGCUGGAAGGCGGCGACGCGGCGUGGUGCUCGCUCUGCAGGCCAGCCUGCUGCGCCGUGGCGGCCUCGCCAUUUGUGCUUUUGCGUGACCGUCCACCAUGCCGCCUGCGAUGGCGCGUGCUCCACACGCGCCUCCCGUCGUCGGCCGCACCUUCAUCCACGACUGCGAGGACCUCCACGAUGCCUUCGCCGCCCUCAGGCCGUACAGGGUGUUGGAACCAAGGCCGCGCCCUAGCUCGCCGGAGCUCUCUCCCUCUCUGUACUUCUCUCUCUGGCGCACACCGAGGAAGAAAAGGAAGAAGAAGGAGACACAGUGGACAAGACGUUGCCGGCGCACGAACGCCCCGCCGCGAGAAAAUUACAUCUACAGUAACUGAACUUGACUCUAGGGUUCACUUUGGUCACUGUAUUCACGAAAUCGCAAGUUACGGUCACCGGGCUCGCUGAACCGGGUCACUAUACGGUAACCCAUACCGUUUCGGCUCGUAUCGGCCCGAUUUGACCAGAAACCCGCUUUGACUCGCUAGCUGGACAUGACACGUCGACAAAACUUAAAGNNNNNNNNNNNNNNNNNNNNNNNNNNNNNNNNNNNNNNNNNNNNNNNNNNNNNNNNNNNNNNNNNNNNNNNNNNNNNNNNNNNNNNNNNNNNNNNNNNNNNNNNNNNNNNNNNNNNNNNNNNNNNNNNNNNNNNNNNNNNNNNNNNNNNNNNNNNNNNNNNNNNNNNNNNNNNNNNNNNNNNNNNNNNNNNNNNNNNNNNNNNNNNNNNNNNNNNNNNNNNNNNNNNNNNNNNNNNNGUUCGGUCGAGACGCUUCACCUUUUCAUUGACGCCUCCGAGGCAUAGGAGAAGAGAAAGGAAAGGGGAAGCGAUCGCGGUGCUGAUCGGCUAGGGUUUCGUCGCCGCCGGCGGAGGCAUCCACCGACGGAGCGACGGCGGCCAGAGGGUUCGUCGACGACUUGAACCAUGGCGCCUCGUCGCCGAGCAGAAGGAGACCCACCACCUGUGUAUGGUAAACCCCUGUUUUCUCCCUGAACCUCUGUAAAACCGCCCUUUUCUCUCUGAAUCUAAUCAAUUUGAGGUCGAUUAGGUGGUUGCACGCUCUUAUUUGCCUUCAGAUUUUGAUGUUACUGCUAGGGUUUCCGUUCUGCUAUGGAUUUUAGGCAGUUAAUCUAGGGUUUUAUGUAAAUCUGCAGAUGAAAUUGACUACUUAUCAAACUUCAGUCUUUGCAUCAAUUUUGGUGGUUAUUUCCUUGGAGUUGGUAAAAAUCGUGCAUAUGUCAAUAGAGAAAACAUGUGGUAUGAUUAUGUGGAGGGGGAUACACUUACUGUCGAGAAGUUAGAAGAUCUGGUAGAAGAAUUGGGCUAUGAAGUGAAGGGGAGAUUGCAAAUGUAUUACUGCAUGCCUGGUAAACCAAUGACUGAAGGUGGUCUUGUGAAGAUAACUUGCAAUGACAACUGUCUUAACAUGAGGGCACAUGUAACAUUUGGGCACAAAUUUUUGCAAAUGUAUCUUGAUCAUGAUGAGAGUUUCAGGCAGUUUGACUGGGAUGAUGUGAUAGAGUUUCCUGUAGCAGACCUGCCUACUGUUGUUAGUCCUAUCAAACCAAUUCAGAUCAUUAAGGAGGAAGCACUAGAGAAGCAUAAGAAGAAGAUUCAGCAGGAUUUAUUGGAUAGGAAAAUUAAGGAGGAAGCAGUGGAAAAAAUGCAGUGUACGUUUGUCACUCAUGUCACCAUUGCAGAUGAUGCAGACCUAGCAGAAGAAGAAGCUGCAGAACAAGCUGCAGAAGAAGCACUUGCAGAGCAAGAACCAGAAGGAACAAAUUCUGCAGAAGAAGCAGUUGCAGAGCAAGCAGCAGAAGAAGCAGUUGCAGAGCAAGCAGCAGAAGAAGCAGUUGCAGAGCAAGCAGCAGAAGAAGCAGUUGCAAAUGAGGAGGAAGAUGUGGAGCAGGGUGAAGAGGAUGGCUCUGUUGCAUAUGACAGUGAAGGGUCAGUUUCUGAUGUUGAAGUAAUUGGGAGUGAACAAGGAUCAGACUAUGCUGAUGAGAUUGUAGAUAGUGAUUAUAAUGUCAGUGAUUUAGAUGAUGAUCUUAAAGAGGAGACAGUGGAGGAGCCUAUUGAUGUUCAUAUUAGAGCAAAGUCAGACCCUGUACAAGGAUCAGAUGAAGAAGACCUAGAGCUCCCAGAUUCUGAUGAUGAAGCAGGUGCAAAGUACAAAUUUAAAAGCUUUAGGAAGGAAGAUUUGCAUGAUCCACAAUUCAAAAUUGGACAAGUUUUCCAUUCACCAGAAUUGUUUAGAAAAGCAGUGAGAGAAUAUGCUUGCAAAAAUAGAUUUGACAUCAAAUUGCCAGUAAAUGACAGGAAAAGAAUUUCAGCAAAAUGUCAGUCCCACUGCCCCUGGAACAUUUGGUGUAGUUAUGAUAGCAAAACAAACUGCAUGGUCAUCAAGAGUUACAAUGAUGAACACAAAUGUUCUAAGAAGUGGAAAGUAAAGGCAUUUACUGCUAGAUAUCUUGCAGAAAAGUACUUGGAGCACUUCAGGGCAGAUCAAGGAAUGAAUUUGAGAAAUUUUGGGAGGUUAGUUCAAAAGGAGUGGAAUAUGGCAGCUUCUUGUAGUAAACUAAGCAGAGCAAGGAGAUAUGCAUUAAAGAUAAUCCAUGGAGAUGAGGAGGCAUAGUACAACAUGCUUUGGGAUUAUGCAAAUGAAGUUAGAAGAUCCAACCCUGGCAGCACAUUUUUCAUUCAAUUGGACAAUGAAUCAAGGUUCAACAGAUGCUACUUCAGUUUUGAUGCAUGUAAAAGAGGAUUCCUUGCAGGGUGUAGGCCCAUAAUUUGUUUUGAUGGAUGUCAUUUGAAAACUAAGUAUGGAGGUGUGCUUCUGUCUGCAGUUGGCAUGGAUCCUAAUGAUUGUAUCUAUCCUGUGGCACACUGCAUUGUAGAUGUCGAAGAUACUAACACUUGGAGCUGGUUUAUGAGAACACUGAAACACGAUCUUGGGAUUCAGAACACCUCAGCAUGGACUGUCAUGUCUGAUAAGCAAAAGGUAAAGAUAUGUACAUAGUUACUUACAUACAUAUUGUCAUGUCUGAUAUUCACUUACUUACUGGCUAACUUACAAAACUUGCAGGGCCUAACAAAUGUUGUAUUGCAGCAUUUUCAUGACUCAGAACACAGAUUCUGUGUCAGGCACCUUUGGCAGAAUUUCAGAGAGAAAUAUAGAGGAGAUGUUCUGAAAAACCAGCUCUGGAAGAUAGCUAGGUGCACCACAACUGAUCAGUAUGAAGAAUAUAUGGAAGAGAUGAGACUUCUUGAUAGUGAGGCUCAUGCUUGGCUUGCAGAGAAGAGGCCUAACACUUGGGUUAGGGCAUUCCAGACUGAUUUGCCCAAAUGUGAUAUUUUACUAAACAACAAUUGUGAGGUUUUCAAUAAGUAAGUGGUACAUUUAUGUGUUCAUGUACUUGCUAUGUGUUCUUCAAUUGUUCAUGUACUUGCUAUGUGUUCUCUCUUCAUAAUGAAUUAGGUAUGUGUUAUCUCUUCAAAUACUUGUAGAUAUAUUUUGGAGGCUAGAGACUUGCCAAUCAUCAGCAUGAUUGAUAGAAUCAAGUCACAACUUUCAAGCAGACAUUAUAACAAGCAGCAAGAGGCUAAGAAAUUUAAUGGUCGAAUCUGCCCAAAGAUCAAGAAAAGGCUUCUGAAGCACAUAGAAUGGUCUAAUAGUUGUUACCCUACUAAUGCUGGAGAGGGAAUCUUCCAAGUUUCUUCACAUGGUAGGGAGUACAUUGUGGAGUUGCAGUUCAAGGCAUGCACAUGCAGAAGGUGGCAAUUAACUGGCAUUCCCUGCCCCCACUCCAUAGCUUGCUAUAGAGAUGAACUAAUUGAUCCUGAGGAAAUGGUGCACAAGUGUUAUGAUCUUUGCAAUUUCUCCAAAGCAUAUGCUUACAUUAUUAUGCCUUGCAAAGACAGGAGGGAGUGGCAGAAAAUGGGUGGUUGUGUAAUUAAGCCUCCUUUGUAUGAGAAGAAACUAGGGAGAAAGGCCAAGAAUAGGAGAAUGCAACUAGAGGAGGUAAUAGCAAAGAAAGGAGGGAAAAAGAUUACAAGACAUGGCACAAUUAUUCAUUGCAGCCAUUGCAACAAUCCUGGACAUAAUAAGAAAGGGUGCUCUGCCUUCAAGCAAGGCCUACCUGCAGCAAAACCUAUGCAGAAGAAAAUGAGGAAGAGGCCAAGAGCCACAUUUGAAGAAGAAGAACAAGAACCUACUCUGUCACAGGUAACAUUUGCAAAAAUUUCAGUGCUCGAUAUAUCCAUUUUAGCUUGUGGCUAAUAUUUCAGUGCUCGAUACAUCCAUUUUAGCUUCUGGCAAAUAUUUCAGUGCUCGAUAUAUCCAUUUUAGCUUGUGGCUAAUAUUUCAGUGCUCGAUACAUCCAUUUUAGCUUCUGGCAAAUAUUUCAGUGCUCGAUACAUUCAUUUAACCUUGUUGCAAAUGUGUAGGCUACAACACAAGAACAAGCACCUGGACCAUCAAUGACACAGGCAAGUGAGGAGCCUGUUGUCACACAGGAACAUGACAUGCCUCCAAUUGGAGCUCUUCAUCCACAUUCAAUGAUGGAAAUCAUGAGAAAUGAGGUAUAUCCAUUGAACCUUGUUAAAAAUAUGAUCUUGAUGUGAAAUACAUCUCAUGUUUCACUACUGUUACAGGCUCCUAAACCAAGGAAAAGAAAGGUGCCAACACCAUUGCCUGAAAGUUCUUUCCUCAAAGAAGCUAGAGCUGCAAUGCCAUCUGUAGGUAGCAGCACGGCAACAAGAUUAGGAAAUCUUGCAGCUAGAGUUGAAGUGAUGAGGGAGGCCAAGCAGCAAGCCAAUGAAAUAUUGCAUGAAAAGAGGUGUGCUGAAAUCCUAGCACAAAGGGAAGCUGCUGCUUUGCAAAAAGCAGGUGAAUUCCUUGCCAAGAAACAAGCUGAAAAGGCCAAAAAAGCUCAAGAAAAAGAAGCUUUGAAAGCAGAGGCAAGAAAAAAGAGAGAGCAAGAAUUUGAGGCCAAGAAGCUUGCAGCAGCAGCUAAAAAACAAGAACUAAUGGAGGCAAAGAAGAGGGCUGCAGAAGAGAAGAAAGCAGCAGCGAAAGCAAAGAAAAUUAUUGCACUGCAAAAGAAAGCAGCUGCUGCAACAAAUAAGCACAAGAAAGUUAACAUGUUUGAUGAAUUCAGGUCCUGAAUGACCAUUUAAUGUAAUGGAUGAAGUAUUUUGCAAUUUCUAGAUGUUAAGACAAGUUCAGUUACUGUAGAUGUAAUUUUCUCUUCAGUACUAUAUGAUUUUCAAAUACUUAUGUGUGUUAUCAAGGAGCUAUGAAUGACCAGUUUCUAUUAUGCUAAAUAAAUGGUGUUAUCAAAUUCAUGUUCUUCAUUUGUUCAACAGUAAAAUGCAUGUUCAGUUCAGUACUGUUCUGUGUUAUCAACUGCAAACUUUUAAAUUUCAGUCUUAUUCCUUCUUGUCAGUGUUCAACAUGUUAUUAAAUGCAUGUUCAGUAAAGGAAGAAACAUUUUCCACUUCUCCAAUUUCCAACAGCAAAGUUGUCUCCACACAAAGGUUUCUAUUACCACUGACAUCAAACAACACAAAAGUCUCCUUCUUACUUAGCAAUUGCCAACAUUGACAACAAUCACAUCCUAACUAGAACUAACACUAACACAAAGAGAAUUGCAAAUAGCAGUACAACUACUAUCUUCAUUACAACAACCAAGUCUGUAACAUCUCAUGGAAGUGAUUUUAGCAGCAGCAGCAUUUUCAUCAUAUCUUCAGGAUCCACUUCUGUCGUGUUCUUCUUUUUCUUCAUCUCUACUACUUUACUAUCCACAGAUUCACCUCUCAGAUGUCCAUUUACCUUCAAAUAAUCAAUGUAACUAGCUUCCCAGUGCCAAAAGUUGCAAGGUUUCUUCCCUGCCUAUUUGACAAAAUCAAGAACAAAUCUGAAAAUCAAAUUAAGAAGAACAACAUCCAGUCAAUGUUCUUGUGCUAACCUUAUGAUUCAUACACUUGUACAAGAUCCAUCCAGGAUGCUUUUCAGUGGUGGACUCAAACCGCCUAAUCUGGCGAAUCUUGCAAUCAGGGCAUUGGAUCAAAGGAAGCCAACCCGCACCGGCCCCCGAUGAGCUACCCGCGCCGGACAUGGGAGCAGAGGAUGCAACUGGAGAUCUCAUGCAACUGUUGGAUCCAAGCGACAGUGGAGGGGAUGAGAGAUUGCGCUAGGGAUUUAGCAGUCCGAUGAGGGGAACGAGAGGGGAAUCGACAGGGGAGGGGAGAGGAUGAAGAAACCCUCGACGUGUCAUGUCCAGCUGGCGAGUCAAAGCGGGUUUCUGGUCAAAUCGGGCCGAUACGAGCCGAAACGGUAUGGGUUACCGUAUAGUGACCUGGUUCAGCGAGCCCGGUGACCGUAACUUGCGAUUUCGUGAAUACAGUGACCAAAAUGAACCCUAGAGUCAAGUUCAGUUACUAUAGAUGUAAUUUUCUUCCCCGCCGCUCUGACGGCAUUUUUCUUGAGCACAAACUCACCCACACCAGUUACAACGCCAGGGCACACACCCCACGUCCCAGCCCACGCCGAGCGCUCGGUCCGGCCCGCUCUGGCCACGCCCGCGACAUGCACGCACACGUCCGGGUCGUGGCGAGCCCGCAUCGGACCAACUCAACGCACCCCCUAAACUCGCCAGCAGAAUGCUCCUACACACACGUGCAUACACACGCACGCACCCACAUACACCUGCCAUGAGCCCGACGCAGCCCGAACGCGCGCACGCACACGCGCCCGACGCGUCUCGCCGUGGCUUAUUGCCCAUCACAGGGACCGCCACGGGAAGCUCCUCAGGUCGCCUGACCCCGUCGUGAACAAGCUCCUCGCCACGCCACGUUCGUGCUGUCCGAGGACCGACACGCUCGCCCGCGAGGCGGCGUGUCGCCGCUGCCGCCUCGCGCCACGUCGAUGAUCGCGACGUACGGCUUCAUCUGGCACUGUUACUACUGUGCGAAAGAAAGCAGCUGCGGUAACGACGACCGCGCCUGCACGCGGCGACGGCUGAGGUGGUGCAGGAGAUGGCGGCGACGGGCGCGGUGGGGAAGCUGUGCCUGGUGGCGCCGGCGGCGCCGGAGGAUGGGUGCCAGGGCAUAGCGGAGCUCGCCGUGCUUGCACCAGGUGGCCAAGGAGCGGGACGAGGCGCGCAACCAGGUGCAGCAGCUGCUCCUCGCUGCCGCGGCCGCCAAUCAGGCGGCGGCGCUAGACUCCUCCCUCGAUAGCUGCACUCGCUCACGUCUGUGCCGGCGAACUCCAUGACACUCGACGUGGAAUGUCCGUGAGUCCGUCUAGGAUUCAUCCGAUCUGGAUGAGUUGAAUAUGCAUGUAUACAUAAUUAUCAGAGUAUACAUGUGCAUAGUCACGCUGUAGAGGAGAGCAAGCGAAUGUACAUGGAGCAGUAUCUUUUCAGCCUGAAUCUUUGUAGUGGGUUUCUUGCACCAAAUAAUUGAAGUGAGAGCUUGUUGCACUAAGCACAGAACACUAAGCACAGAACAGCAGUGAACACAAUGAUUUCAUACACGAGGGAAGCAGUGAAUGAAAAUAUUCAUAGUAGUUUAGAAUGAGCGAUUACAAGCUACAAUGGAACAAUACACUUUGCAUAUGUUUAAAUGCUGGUAAACUUGCUGAUGAGAUGUUGAUGCAAACAUCCCUCUCUCUCUCUCUUCUCUGGUUUGAUUCAAGAGAAAUGAGUACACCAAUCUUUCUAGCUAGUUUGGUGAAGCCAGGGCAGUUUACUGUGAUUUUCCUUUUUCUUUUUGCCAAUUAAGCAAUCAGCUGCCCGGCGCACUUGCAGUAGGAAAGGAUCAUGUUGAUGACGAGCAGCUGCAUGGGUCACGGACGAGAAGCCAUGUACGGUCUUGGCCGUCGGCGACGAGGUCCUUUGACUUGGCCAUCAUGUACUGAGAGCGCGAACAAGAGCAAACUAUCGAAGGAGCUGGUCCGGCCGCCCGUGAUGGGUCUCGGAAUGGGAUCUUGGUGCGGCCGCUAUGAACCGUAGAGUACGGCCGCUCAUGUCGUCCAUCGGAAUGAGUCUCUCGUGAUAGUAUAUGAGACAGAGACACGGUCUUAUAGGAUUUUUUCGAGGUGAAUCCCAUGUCAAACUUAACAGUCGAGGCUUACACAUGGGCCCGCCCAUCCAUAAACGUGUUUAAACUGGCCAAACGGGCAAGUAAUGCGAAGAGGUAGCAAUUUGAGACGAAUUAACCUAAAAAUGAUGUCCGAAAAUGUAAUGUGGCAGUAGUGUUUUCUUUUUUCGGAACAGAAGCCACGAAAGUGAUACCAGUGCUUCGUAGUGACGUGGUGUCUUGUCGUCUACAGUACUGCACGAACUGGAGACCAAGUCAUGGCCGAGACGUGCAGCAGAAGAACCAUUGGCAUGUCGUUCCUGCCGGUUGGACAUAAGCAUCAUACGCGGCGAUGAUCCGCCGGUCGUCCGCUAGUUGGGCGUGCAAGUCGCGCGAGGUACCGAACAAACUUCCACCAUGCAGAAAACCCAACCAUCUUCUACACUAAUGUUAUGUAAACUUGCUAAACUACACCCGCGCCGCGCCACGCCGGAAGGAGGCAUCAAACAGGCCGGAGUUAAUUACACGAUAGUACCACAUUUGGAACCACAUUUGGAACGAUGGUGGCGAAUUGAUACCACUUUUGAAAAAAUUUAUGUGUCAGUACCACGUUUGAGUCGAACCGUUGCGAAUCGGGCUAAACCUCGUAUUUCUACGUAUUGACGCUGGAACUGACCGCCCGGGCCCGCGCGUCAGCUGCCAUGCUGGCAAAUCGGUACUCGCCCGCUCGCUCGAUAGGCGCGGUCCGGCUCGAACCGGACCGGCCCGUGCUUUGUCUCUCUCUCCUUUCCUCUCUUCCUCUUUUCGUCGACGAACCCUAGCUCCACCGCACGUCUGUACGGUGAUGGCGGCGGCAACCCCGGGCGGUGGUGGCGGCAGCGGCGGUGGCGGCAACGGCGAUGGCGGCGGCGCAAACAAUCCCCUCUUCGGCAGCUGCGCGGCAGGAGGAAUCGACGGGAGAUCUCCAAUCGAGGGCGGCGACGGCUACUCGAGCUCUGACUUGUAUUCCAGCGACGACGACGAGUUCAUGGAGCCCGCACUGUCCAUGGAGCAGCGGGUACGGCUGGCACAGCAAUGGGUGGCGAACCCUAGCUGUAGCCACGAGCUGACCCACGGCUUCGGCGGCGUCCUGUAAGUUUUCUCUCUUUUUUUCUUCUCAUUUAAUUUGCAAUUAGGGUUAUAGUGUACUGAUUAGGAAAAAUGCAUGUGAAUUGUAGUUUAUAUGAAGACAUAUGAAAUGUUAGGAUCCAUUUUGACAAUAAUGAUCUGUUAGAGAGGAAGUUAAGUUGUUCAGAUGUGACAUAUCUGAAUAUGGUUGCUUUGAUGGAAACACAAGGCUUUAGUAUUGAUGAUUCACUGCUGUUUUACAUGGAGACCCCAGGAGAGCAGGGUUUGGAAUUGGUUGAUAGUAAUGUUAAACUACAGUUGAUCAAGAGGCGGAAUAAGGAGAGUUUGGUGCUUAAUUUGUUAUUUAGGGCUUGUCCACCAGCUGUUAGUGUAGCACAGAAGGGUUUUGCAGAGAAGCAAAAUUUAGAUCCUAUUGUUUAUUCUGAGCCUGUGGUUUAUGAUCUGGCUGAUCCUCCUGUUUAUGCUGUUGAUCAGCAAGGUGUUGCUUAUGAACGUCAGAGUAGCUGCUCUAUUGCACCUGUAGGCCCUGCUGUUUUAACACAAGAGAGCAGGAGUGUUGUAAAUCCAAAGUUAAAAGAAGUUGUGGAAGAAGAACAAGAUGGCUAUGAUGCCAGUUAUGCAUCUUCAUCUGAAGGGCAAUAUGACAAUGACACUAACCCUUAUUAUAUGGGGGGUUUAAGGCCUAACUAUAAUGAGGAAAUGAAUGAUGCUGAAGACAUGGAGAUGGAAGAGGGAAAUAGACAGAGAGAACCAGAAGAGGAAGAGGAAGAAGUACAAGAACAACAUGAGGAAGAAACAGAGGAAGAAGAAUCAGAAGAAGAAACAGAGAAGGAAGAACCAGUGCAUUAUGAGGGUGACACAGAGGUAGAGGAAUUAUUUUAGUUGGAGGAUGAUGAGCCUAUUGUUCAAGAAAAGGAAGAAAAAAUAUCUGUGCCAGCAAAGAAGAAGCAGAAGAUGCAAGUAAGGAGGGGACCAACAACAAGGUCACAUUCUAGUGUUUUAGAAGAAGUGCAACCUGAUUGGAAACCAUCAUCAGAUGAAGAAGAUAAUAGUUUACUUAAGGACAGUGAAGAUGAUGGGUUUCAGCCACUAGCAUUUGUGCUACCUGAAAAAAGGAAGAGCAGGGCAAAGAAGAGGCCACCUAGAGUAUGGUACAAUGAGGAUUUGGAGCAACCACACCAACAACUACAACUGCAAAUGUGUUUCAGAGAUCAACAUCAAUUCAGAGAUGCAUUGUUGAGCCUGCACAUCACUCAGUGCAGAGACUUCAAGUAUCACAGGAACUCAGAUCAGAGGAUCAUUGUGCAUUGCAAGAAUUUCACAAUGCAAGUUCUGCAUUGUGGCAGCUGUUAUAAAAGGGGAAAACACUUUUGCAAUUAAGAAGAUGAGAUUACAACACACUUGCCCUAGUUCUACUGAAACAAGCAGGGGUAAGUGCCAAGUGGCUUGCAAAGCAAUAUGAGCCACUAUUCAGAUCUGAUGUCAGUACUAGCAUACAUACACUUAUUGAUGCCUGCAUGGAAAAGUAUGGUGUGGAUGUGCCCAAGGCAAUGGCAUAUAGGGCAAAAAACCUAGCUGUUGAGGCUGUGUUGGGAGAUCAUAGGAAGCAAUACCCAAGGCUGAGAGACUAUGCUCAGACUGUCAUGGAUACAAACCCUGGGAGUAGGGUUGUAGUCACCAUUGUAACUCCAGCACCCACUCAAAAAAUCCCACAUCCAGGAUCCAGAUUCCAUGCAAUGUUUUACUGCAUCAAUGGAGCAAGGGAGGGAUUUCUACAGGGGUGUAGACCAUUCAUUGGUUAGUUCAUUUUAGCUUGUGCACUACUUUGAUUUUUUUAGUUUCAAUAGCUUGCACAUAUAAAUGCAUUUAACAUGUUAUGUUUACAUCCUGUUUUAGGUGUUGAUGGAUGUUUUAUCAAGCUGACCACUGGUGCACAAAUCCUGGCUGCCACUGGUAGAGAUGGCAAUAACAACAUAUACCCACUGGCAUUUGGCAUUGUUGGACAAGAGGACAAAGCAAACUGGUGCUGGUUUCUACACCAACUGAAGAUUUGUCUUGGAGGAGAAGUUGGACAGUAUGGUCCAUAUACUAUAAUGUCAGACAGACAGAAGGUAUGUCUAUCCACCUUGCAUUGCCUGCUAAAUAUGUGUUGACAUGUGUAUUACACAGUAGCUUAGCUGUUUAAAUUGUGUGCACCAGGGGCUACUAUAUGCAGUGAGUAAAGUUUUUCCUAACAGUAAUCAAAGAUUCUGCUUAAGACACAUAUAUGCAAACUUCCAAAAUGCUGGCUUUAGGGGGGAAGACCUUAAGAAGUGCAUGGAUAAACCUAACCAUUAGGGUUUACGGUGACUCGGGGUCGACGGAGCCACCUAAACCUAACCAUUAGGGUUUAUGGUAACUCGGGGUCGACGGAACCACCUAAACAUAGGCUUCCAUGCAUGAUAUAACAUAACCAUCUAAUAAUCCAGUGCUAACAUAACCAUCAAGUAGUCUUCCAAUGCUAACAUAAUCAUCAAAACCUAGUGCAUGAGAAAUCAUAAUCUGAAGUCUAGCAAACAUAACACAGAAUAUCUGAUCCAGCAAUCAUAACACACAAUACUUACUACAGUUCAACAUAUUAUAAAGUACACAACCAUUGUUCACAAUACAUAGUGGAGUUUAGAUGCAUAGUUCAUCCUUUUCUUACAAAAGGAUGAAAAUCAUAUCUACUACAUACAUACACAGUCAUAGUUCAUCUUAGAGAAGUUCACAUUUAGUAGAGCCAUACACUACACAACCAUCAUGCCCAAAAGGUCAGCAUUGCCCACUACUCUCAUAUUCAUUUUCUUCACUUCUCUAAGAUGGCCUGGAUCCCCUUGAUCUUCUCCUUCAGCUUCUCCUCUGCCUUAAUCAGCUCAGCAAUCUGAAGCUCUAGCUGCCCCUUCUCUUCACCAUGCUUUUCCUUUCCCUUGAGCAAAUCAGUAACCUGAAACUUCAACUCUAGCUUAUCUUGGGUGAGCUUCUCCUCAGACUUUGUGAGCUCUGCAUUCUUCAACUCCAAGUUCAUCUUAGCUUCAGUAAGCAAUUGCUUAUCAGUAAUAUGCUUCAACUUCAGGUUCUGGAUGACUGUAGCUUGAGCUCUUGUCAGGUUCAGUAGCACAUCAUAAUUCUGCUUAAACUUCUCAAACUCUGCAUCUUUCUUUGUCAUCUGUGCAUUCAUAUCAGCCACCAGUUCACUUCUGCAUUCAUGCUGAUAUGUAAUGGCAGACUGCAGAUGUCUGAAAUCCACCACCCUAUCCUCCUGGAAGCUCAUAAGCUGAUGCACAUCUUGGACUAGCUUGUCAUAGUUGGCCUCCAGGUUGUUCUUCUCUUCUGUCAGAUGGUGGAUAGUGAAAGAACUUUCAAGAUUAUCAUUCACCCUAGCACUUUUGCUAUCUUCAACCAUUGCCCACAGCUUCAACAAUGCAUUUUGCAUUGUUGGGGGUCACUGGUGAUCAACCCAUUCAACAAACCCACAAUUCUGCCCUUCCUGCAAAAAGAAAAAAAAAGAUAAAAAAUAAACAAGUUAGUGCAUAACUAGUGCAAAGCAAUAACACUGUUUUGUCCUUUCUACAUUGGUAAUAAUAACAACAUUAAGCUACACUGGUAAUUGAGAUGUACCUACCCACUAAAUAACAACAUGACAAAUUACAACACUAGUCAGCUACAGAUUUAAACUAGUUUUUGCUAAUCACCUACAAAAGCAAUCUCAAACUGCAAAUUUGGUGAACUGCCAAAGCAUUUGCAGUACAUACUAUCCAUUCAACUGAAUAUUUGUAGCAUUUACAUACAUAACAACAGGUGCAUCCCAACAUAAAACUAACAGUUCAAUCAAUAUUUAGUUACAAACAGGAGCUAAAGUAACAGCAACAUAAUUAACAGUACCACUGUCAUUCAACUACAUAAAAAUGCCACAAUAACAACUUAAAACCUGUAGAAGUCUCAAACUGAAUAUUUCACAUGUGGGCAAAAACAAUCCCACCGCAAAAUAACAGUACCACUGUCAUUAAACUACACAAGCUACUAUUGUUGCAAAAGUGAAUAAUCAGCCCUAACAAAAUGACAGUAAAGAUUCCACUGCCAAGUUAAAUAUGCCCUAAUAAUCAGCCCUUUUACUAAUGUGAACAUACUAUAUAGCAGAUCAGUUAUCCUUGUGACAUGUAAGUCUCCCUUUAUCACUUUUUCUUGUAAACUCAUGUAAAAGUGAUAAGGUUAUGCAUGUUAGCUUGGAACAUGAGGGAUGUGCGCAUGAGGAAUAAUAUGACAUAUAAUAUCCCACUAUCAGCCUACAGUUCAUACCGGCUCUGUACAUGCUAAGAACCUUCUCCCUGUGUAUGUUCCUUCAAAUGCGACAAGCCUCUCAGAUGCCUUCCCGUGCUUCUCACAUACCGACAUCGUUUCCAGCUCAAGCCCGUGGUAAUCUGGAUCUUCAACGCUGAAAGGGACCCGCCAAAGCUCGUACAAACAAAAUGCCCAAAUCAAAACCCAGCGAAAUCAAUCAAAUCAAAAAACCCAAAUCUGUAACCCUAACCCUAAACCUAGCUCAAGGAAAAUCACCUGGCUUAGCCCGUCCAUGGAUGAGGUCGAGUGCAUGUACGGCAGGCUGGAAGUGUCGUCACUGCUUUCGUCUUCGAAAACCAUGGCGGGCGGCGGCGGUCCGAUCCGGCAACGCUGCGGGCGCCGACGAGGGCGGCGAGAGGAGCGAGCAGAGAGGCACGAGCGAGGAGGAAGAGAGACAGAGCACGGGCCGGUCCAGUUCGAGCCAGACCGCACCUAUCAAGCGAGCGGGCGGGUACCGAUUCGCCAGCGUGGCAACUGACGCGCGGGCCCGGGCGGUCAGUUCCAGCGUCAAUACAUAGAAAUACGAGGUUUAGCCCGAUUCACAACGGUUCGACUCAAACGUGGUACUGACACGUAAAAAUUUUCAAAAGUGAUAUCAAUUCGUCACCACCGCCCCAAAUGUGGUACUAUCGUGUAAUUAACUCAACAGGCUGCAGUCUAGCGCGUGGCUUGCCGCUUUCGUCCGGGGCGCACCCGGCGAUGACUGCAAGAAGCACCAAUAUCCAUAUCCAGGCGGCUGUCUUUCCCCCAAUAAGCAUCAACAGCUAGCGCCCUGCUUAAACAGCCGAAUUUCCAUGUUUCAUGAGCAGCCCAAAAGAAAAAGACCCCCCCAAGAUGCCAACUAGAGUUUACUGGCAGUAUGCCAAGGCAAACCAAUGCAAUGUCGUGCACUGGUACAUCAAAAGUCUGGUAUUUACCACCAUGCCAGCAUCUCAAAAUAGAUGACCAUGAACAACAACACGUCUCAACGGUGCCACAUAACAACACCUACAGAUGGUAACAAUUUCACCAAUGAUUCUGUGGCAACAUGUAAUCUUUAGAUUCACAUAAACUAGCAGAAGAAGCUGUCCUGGAGGAAUCAAUAGAGCCAUCACUCAUCAGUAAGUCCUGGAGGAGUCGAAACUAGCAAAACGACUCAUCAUACUGCAGUUACUUUAAGCCUUGUUACGGCAGCCACGGUCCUCGAACUGCUAACUGUCACUGGCAUCUCUGGUCUUGCAUGCUUUACCAUCUGAAACAUAUUGCCGCACCUUAAGGUUUGCCGAGAAAACAAAAGCAUAUAGCAAAUGUUCUUUUCAAAUGCAUGCAACAGCAACCAAAAUGGCUAAGAACGGGGCAAUCUACAUUCUAUAACUAAGUCCAAAUGCAGCAGCAGGUCAUCUUUUGAGUUGUAACCAUUGGAUUUAUAAAAAUUCCCUCUCACUCAAACAGAAGGCUUUAUUAAAAUUCUCUUUUGAUCAGUUGGAUUUAAAUACACUAUUAUGCAUACAGGCACUGGGAGCCAGGUUGCUGAGACAUAAAACUUUUACUGGGAAUUCGAGAGAAAUGACUAUAGUUGAUAAUAAUUCGGUAAUCCACUUCUGAGCCCAGGCUCAGCUGCCAUUUUUGCAUAUCAUCACUAUAGAAAUUCAGCAUGUUACUAACACCGAGUAUACCCUAGCAUUAUUAAAUAUGCUAGUACAUAAUUUUAAAAAAAUUAGAGCACCGGAAUUGAAAAUAAGCUUAACCAGAACAUUAAGAAAACAAUUUUUCUGAACAGAAAGUUUACCUUAACAUCACCCCUGGUUAACGGGUCUUGGAGGUCGUGGCAGUAAAGAGUAUAGUACCAGAAAAACACCAUGAUUCCUUGAAAUGACAGUCGCAUCCACUGAAGCAGUUGGAUUCUGUAAUAAUAAAUGUCAGAUCUGCCCUUGUUGCAUAUUGCAAACAUCGAAUAAACGGAUACAAUUAGUACCUUCAACUCCACCUCAUGAGUAUAAAUACCUGUUAUGGCCGGCCGGCUUAGGCCGCAAGUUAUCUUAGUUUUUAUUUUCAGAUUAGGCAAGUUAUCUUAGGCAAGUUAUCUUAGGUUGAUUAUUCUACAAGUUAUCUAGGAUAUAAAUAUAGGUUGUAAGACUCUUUUUGAAGGCAAGCAAUAAGAAGAAUAUUAUCUCCUAUUGCCCGGCUCCCUGAGGAGCCGGAACCCUAGCCGCCAACAGCCCUAGCCGCCGCCCUUCUCCUAGCCGCGACGGCGCCCUGCCGUCGGCGCGCCCGAUCCUCUCCACGUCUCCCUCCAUCCUUCCCUUACCACCUACGCCCUAGACCUGGUAGAGUACUUGAUCCUACCAAUUUGGUAUCAGGUAACCGGGUUUCGACCAUGUCUCCGCCAAUUCCACCGCCACCACCACCGCUGCCCGUCAACUCCUCCACCACCGCCGCCUCUGCGCCGGGCGUCACGGCCUCGCUCUCGGCGGGCACCACUGCGUCGCUCUCAGCGCCGGUCCUAACGGCACCCGGCACCACGCCGGGCCAAGGGCAGCCACAAGCCCCCGUCCAACACUCGUCGCCGCCAUCACCUCCCUCGCAGCCGCAACAGUUCACGCCGGAGGCCAUGGCGGGCGUCCUCAACGACCUCGUCACCGCGGUUCAAGGGAUCCGCCUCUACCUGGCAGGUCCGUACGGGCCGCCCCCACCACUCCAUCCAGCCAUGGCCGCGGGUCAGCAGGCGCUUCCGUGGUACUCGGCAUCGAGGGCCAUCACCGGACUCCAUCCAGCCAUGGCCGCGGGUCAGCAGGCGCUUCCGUGGUACUCGGCACCGGGGGCCGUCACCGGAGGCUACCCGGCGCUCCUCGCCCCAGCGGCCGCACGGCCGCCUUGGGCGCAGUGGCCGCCGCAGAUCGCGCCGGCAGCCCCGCCACUUCUCGCCACCACGGGGCCGCAGUGGCCCACCUGGACCGCGCCGGCCGCGCCGUCCUCCGUCGCGCCCUACCUUCCAGCGGCCUCGGAGCAGGGUCCUCCACCGGCCCCGCCCAGCCCUAACCUGGGCACCGGCGCCUCGGAGCAGGGCCAGACCCAGCAGCUUCUUCCGGCGUCACCGCCGGCCCCCACGCCGCAGGCGCCGGUGCAGCUCCACCANNNNNNNNNNNNNNNNNNNNNNNNNNNNNNNNNNNNNNNNNNNNNNNNNNNNNNNNNNNNNNNNNNNNNNNNNNNNNNNNNNNNNNNNNNNNNNNNNNNNNNNNNNNNNNNNNNNNNNNNNNNNNNNNNNNNNNNNNNNNNNNNNNNNNNNNNNNNNNNNNNNNNNNNNNNNNNNNNNNNNNNNNNNNNNNNNNNNNNNNNNNNNNNNNNNNNNNNNNNNNNNNNNNNNNNNNNNNNNNNNNNNNNNNGCAGUGGCCGCCGCAGAUCGCGCCGGCAGCCCCGCCACUUCUCGCCACCACGGGGCCGCAGUGGCCCACCUGGACCGCGCCGGCCGCGCCGUCCUCCGUCGCGCCCUACCUUCCAGCGGCCUCGGAGCAGGGUCCUCCACCGGCCCCGCCCAGCCCUAACCUGGGCACCGGCGCCUCGGAGCAGGGCCAGACCCAGCAGCUUCUUCCGGCGUCACCGCCGGCCCCCAUGCCGCAGGCGCCGGUGCAGCUCCAUCAGGCGCCGCCGCCAUCGACAGUACCACCACCCGCGCCUAGGGCUACGGGUCGGCCCCUGCACCAGGUGCAGUAUCCACCGUCACCAUCGCCGAUCCCCGCUUGGGCGACCGGCUCGUCUUCAGGGCCGGUCUACUCCACGGCGCCGGAACACCCGACGCCCUCCCUGCGGUUUGAUCACCCCUCCAGCUCGGCGAACUACGCCCCGACGCUUCCCGACCCAGCAUACGCGCCGGCGGCAACUACGGCCGCCCCCGGGCACGGCGGGCCGACACCCCCUCGCUUCGCCAAACUGGACUUCGCCACCUACAAGGGCACGGAGGACCCCCUCAACUGGCUCAACCAGUGCGAGCAGUUCUUUCGAGGGCAGCGGACGCUCGCUUCGGAUCGCACCUGGCUCGCGUCCUAUCAUCUUCGAGGCGCAGCGCAGACCUGGUACUACGCCCUCGAGCAGGACGAGGGCGGCAUGCCACCAUGGGAGCGCUUCCGGGAACUCUUGUCUCCUCCGGUUCGGGCCUCCUAUCCGCGGGAGCCGACUGGCGGCCCUCGGCCGCUUACCCUUCACAUCCACGGUGCAGGACUACGCCGACCGCUUCCAGGCCCUGGCGUGCCACGCGCCGGGCGUCUCCGCAACUCAGCGCGCCGAGUUAUUUGUGGGCGGUCUACCGGACCAUAUCCGCGUGGACGUGGAGCUUCGGGGACCCCAGGAUCUCCAGUCGGCCAUGUAUUACGCCCGCGCAUUCGAGCGCCGCGCGGUGGCCAUCCAGCAGGAAUCACCGUCCCAGACUGCUGGGUCGCUACCCGGACCAGAUUCCGCCUAGGGUCGGCCUGUGCAGGCUUCUGCGGCACCCCUCGCCGCGACCGCGGGGCGCCCGUUCCGCCGGCUCACCCCAGCUGAGAUACUCGAGCGUCGCCGCCAAGGGUUGUGCUUCAACUGCGACGAACCCUACAAGCCCGGCCACGCCUGCCCGCGACUCUUCUACCUGGAGGUGGCAGACUACAUUCCGGAGGAAGCCGUCGCCGCCGACCUGGCCGCCCCAGAUGUCGCGAAGGUGUUUGACGCUGGUUGAUUACCUCGAAGAGUUCAAGCAAGCGCUUCCCCACCUUACAGCUCGAGGACGAGCUGUUUGUGCAGGCGGGGAGAAGUGUUAUGGCCGGCCGGCUUAGGCCGCAAGUUAUCUUAGUUUUUAUUUUCAGAUUAGGCAAGUUAUCUUAGGCAAGUUAUCUUAGGUUGAUUCUUCUACAAGUUAUCUAGGAUAUAAAUAUAGGUUGUAAGACUCUUUUUGAAGGCAAGCAAUAAGAAGAAUAUUAUCUCCUAUUGCCCGGCUCCCUGAGGAGCCGGAACCCUAGCCGCCAACAGCCCUAGCCGCCGCCCUUCUCCUAGCCGCGACGGCGCCCUGCCGCCGGCGCGCCCGAUCCUCUCCACGUCUCCCUCCAUCCUUCCCUUACCACCUACGCCCUAGACCUGGUAGAGUACUUGAUCCUACCAAUACCACUAAUAAACUGCACAUAACAGACCCUGCUGUUAAAAUCAUAUGCACCGAGGUUAUUCCUCUCUUGGUACUUAAUCAUCAGGUCAAGGAAACCAUCGUAGUCAUCAUUGUUCCAAGGCAAAGUACACACGUCCUGUUCUGCAUCAAUUUUUGCUCUGUUGGAGUGGCUGAGCAUAGCCAAGGGGACUUCAGAAACAAAAAAAAUCUUUUCGCUCAACUCGAGUCCAAAAAAAGGGACAAGUUCUAAUCUCAUCCAUGAUAUAAUGCAUCUCUCCCCGAGUGGGCACUAUCUGAACGCAUGGGCAUCUGCACCCACUUUUAAAAAACUGCAUUUUAAGCAUGUUUUGAAAUGUUAAAAAAAUAACAGAAAAUUGUAUGCAUACAUGUUCGCAAAUGUGUGUGCACACGGCAUAAAGUUUUGUGAAAAAAUGUCUUUCUGGUUUGCCUUCAUAAAAAGACAAAUUUCAGUGCUUCUAAAUAGCGUUUCACGACACAAUUUUUUGUCUUUUUUGCACAGGGCUCAAAAAAAGUUAUUUUUUCGUAAAACUUUAUGCACGCACAUAGAACAUGAAGAUGUAUCCGUGCAAACUUUUUUAGAUUUUUUUGGCAUUUAGAAAUGUGUUUUUUAAAGUGAGUUCAUAUGUAC